rnacentral:lncRNA from 1 species
GUUCAGGUUUACAGCAAUGCUAUCUGUACUUGUGGAAGCAGGAGACAACUGUAAGGAGAAGAAACCUCAUUGGCUCUUUAAUUUGCUCUUGCAGGGAAAAUAUAGAGAACGCAGGAAAACACCCAGAUUGAGAUUUGGCUGCCCAAGCUGCAAAUACUUAGGAAACCAAACAACUGGAGUUGGGAUCUUUUCUGUUGUGUCUCAGAACUUCAGGGUUAAGACCCUUCCUGGGUGAUGGAUAAAGGAAGUCAUUGUCCAGAUGAAAGACUCAUGAACUUGGAGACAGGAAUGAAGCCAUUGAAGCAACUUGGACGUCGGGAAUUCACUGAAGACCAGACUAAAGAGGGGCUUGUUCUAAUAGAAAUUCAUCUAAAAAGUUGGAGAUUCUGUAGAAGAUCUGAUGAAGAGGGCCAAUCACUGAGGAAAAAUGGAUAGCAUCCUAAAACAGUGGGUAGUAAGGGAACCGGUAUGUCUGAUCUUUUAAAGGAAAGAGCAA